rnacentral:lncRNA from 1 species
CUCCCCUCCGCGGGCCGACCGGCGACCCCCGCCCCUCGGGACAACCCCCCCCAAAGUCCGCGGUCGCGCCGGCCACAGACCCGGCCCCGAGGGGGCGCUGGAGGGCAGCGCCCGGGGUCCCCCGGCACCGCGCACCUGGGGAGGGCUGCGGGGGUGGGGGGGGUCUCCCGCUGGGAUCGCGAUCGCCCGCGGUGGCCGAGCGCAGCGCCUUCAAGACUCCGGUUGGGGGGAACGUCGGAGCGCCCCUGUAGUGGUUAGUGUACAGAGCGCGGAGACGCCGCUACCACCUGCCCGGGACCCCCCACACCCGACCCCUGCGUGGCCCAGGCCCCCCGCAGCAGCGUGCGUGGGAGGCGCCCCGACGGUGGACGGCAACACUCUGAUCCCUCUGCGCCCAGCGAGGACCGGGACACCGACACGACCAGGAACAGCGUGGCAUGUUUGGAGGAGUGGAGUUGAGGGGGAAACAGCCCUGACCCUCUCAGGGGGCCGCGCGCGUGGAUGCCCCACACCCGGACAGCGGCGGUGCCAGCGUCGCACCCGAACGCACCCCAACGGCGGUAGCGCUGGGGGUCCCGGCAGCCCCCAUUCGCCCAAGCCGUUCCAGUUUAGGCCACGACAGGAAAAGUCUGGGAGCCCAGUUCUGUGUCCCCCCGCGCCGCUUCAGCGGAACAGCCCAAGAAACUUCCUGUGGUUCAGACACCUUGGUUUGUUGCAACUUUGGGCGCAGAAAGUUGGAAAGUGUGGGUGCACUCACUGAAAACGGAAAGCGUGGUCCCAAGUUUACAGAAAUGCUAAAAUGCAAACCAAAAAAUAAAUUCUCUUUUGAUUUCUCUCCUCGCGGAAAGCUGGCGAAAGCACACGUUUUAUGAUCGUCAUCUUUCAUUGAUUAUACACACGUGUGACUUGGAGUUUCCAGUAGGAAUACUGUUCUUUGACUCUCCCGUACUUCACUGAACGAGUAAUUAGUUAAAACAAGUCCCCAAAUUCCUUAAUCUCAAAAUGCAUAUGUAAAUAGAAUCUGCAUAGGAUACAAAAUAAAACGCGCAAGUGGAAAACAAUUGCUUUUCAAGUGAGUUCGAGGGUUGGCGCAGUGAAUUCGGCAUUUUUGGAGGAAGAGGCUGGAAAUGAAAGUCCCAAGAUUUAGAGAACACGCGUGUCCCCAGGUCUUGCGCAGCUGGCCAGGGGCCUCAGUUUCCCCAAGGGGAGGCCCCUGAUGUCGGGAACGGGGUUCACUGUCUCCCCAACGCAACCUUGACUCGCCGGUGGGUGGGAGCGCGCUGGCGUCGGGGGGCACGUUGCGAGCCUCCACCCUAGAUGCGGUGACGCCGCGCACAGCAGGGCACUGUGGAUCUCGGGUGGCCAAGGGCUGCCUCCGUGUGGGGCGCCCCGGCCCGCGCGCUCAGUCGGCCGGCCGCCGCGCUGUAGCUCCGACCGCGCCGCCCGGUAGAGGGCAGCGGCGCCCCGACACUCGGGUCCUCGGGUCCUCGGGUCCCCGCGCACGUGCCCACCGGCGCGCCCAGGCCCCCGCGCCUGCCACGCCCUGUCCCGGAGUCAGGCUUCUGGCGGGAAGCGGCAUUGCCACCGAGGGACAUUCCUGUCCCGGGGAAAUGCGACUUCUAAGGAUGCCUGC